UACAGAGGGUGCUAGCGUUGUUCGGAAUUACUGGGCGUAAAGGGCGCGUAGGCGGCCUUUCAAGUCAGGCGUGAAAGCCCUAGGCUUAACCUAGGAUGUGCGCUUGAUACUGUUAGGCUAGAGGACAGGAGAGGAAAGCAGAAUUCCUAGUGUAGAGGUGAAAUUCGUAGAUAUUAGGAAGAAUACCAGUGGCGAAGGCGGCUUUCUGGACUGUUACUGACGCUGAGGCGCGAAAGGCGUGGGGAGCAAACAGG
rnacentral:rRNA from 1 species